ensembl:lincRNA
CUUCCUUCUAGCUCUCCCCUCCUCCUUUCUCUCUCUCUCUCUCUCCCUCUGCCUCUCCCUCUCCCUCUCUCCCCACCGCUCCUCUCCUCCCUUUCUCUCCUCUCUCUCUCCUUCAGCAACCCCCCAUCCUCUUUCUUUCUCUCCCCCUCCCGCUCUCCCCUCCCUCUCUCCCCCUCCCACUCUCUUCUCCCUCUCCCUCCAAGUCUGGCACUGAACGAACUGUUUUGCUUUGCUCCGGGAAGAGUGCAGACACAUAACGUGAAAUCCCGAGCUUUUUGCGUGGUGCAUUUUAAAUGCUUCCUUAUUUAUAUUACCCUCACUCCCUCACCUCUCCCACCCCCUCAGCAGUCCUUCCAAAUUUCCCUAGAAAUCUGUGUAAAGCAUGCGGAGGGGGAAAACAUUUGCACAAAAAGUGAAGGAGCUCGCCAAGGUGGUCAGCUUGUCCUCUUCCCAGAGGUCCGCCUAAAGGGCGACUGUCCUCAGAGGUCACAGAAGCAGAAGAGCCUGGACAAAUGAGCUCAGCAGUCCCAGGAAUCUCCUGCUGAAGAAAGAAUCUAAAGAGAUGCAUAAGUUCCAGGGACUUUUCCUCUCAGACUAAUAACACCAAGAUAGAUUUGACUCUAUUUAUUUAUGUUCAUUAUUUUUUCCCCACAUGAACAUGUGUGUCUUCUUCAAAGAUUCUGGGUUAGAAUUUUUUAUUUUCCUGGUGCUGGUUGAAGAAGAAUCUCAAACAGUGAUGCUGGGGUUCUGUUAGUUUGUUUGUUUCAUGAAGAAUUUCAGAUUGUACUUGACAACUUAUGCCUCCUAUAAAAUCAAGAAAUAUUCUUUUACGCUGGUAUGUGUUAAAAUUCUUUCCCAACUGACACUGCACCAAAGAAAUUGAGCCACCUUGGGCUAUACAUUUUUGGUUAAAUAUUUGAGAACUAUGAUUUUGAGAGUCACUGACAGUAAUAAUAAUUAACUAAAAAAUGUCUUACUGAAGGGUCAGUUGAAUAUUGA